rnacentral:lncRNA from 1 species
GAUUAUAGAGUAGUUCUAAGAAUACUCGAUGUGGAGGUAUAAUAAAAAUGAAAUAUGAAAUUUGAGAAAAGGGAAAAAGUAUAUAAGCGGCCCAGUAUAAAGCCAUCAUUAUUUAGGCAACUGGUGAAACUGUUUGUCGAACCAUAGGAUAAUACGUGUUCAAUUUAUUAAAUGCAAAGUGACGUGCAUCUUUUCAAAUAUGGUAAACCGUUCAAGAACUUUCCCCCAAUAAAAGAGAAUGUCUUAUUUACUUCCUGGCUACAUCAAGUUGAGUCAUCGGAAAGUAGAGGAAUAUUGUAUUAGGUAAAAAUUAUAGUUUACAGCUAUACACUUCACAAGUGCAAUGUGGAAGUGCUGACAAGUUAGAGUUGAGUUAGCAAAUGGGCAGUAUCGGGGAGGAAAAUUUGAAGUGAGGUACCGCUGAAGAAAGCAUCAUUAAAGGAGCAUUCAUUACAGAAAAUAUAGCAUUUAUUCGCAAACGUUAUGCAACCAUUAAGAGGAAUUCUAUUCGUCUUUAAGAGGGCGUGAUUCGAAAAUCUUAUAACAGCAGCAUUUAUUCUCAACGAAGAGACAUGAAAUAUUCUUCUAUCAUUUUGAAAAAAAACUUGCACUAUUGUUCUUAAAAUUU